rnacentral:rRNA from 1 species
CGUGAGCGGCGGACGGGUGAGUAACGCGUGGGUAACCUGCCUCAGUACAGGGGGAUAACAGUUGGAAACGGCUGCUAAUACCGCAUAAGCGCACAGUACCGCAUGGUACGGUGUGAAAAACUCCGGUGGUAUGAGAUGGACCCGCGUCUGAUUAGGUAGUUGGUGGGGUAACGGCCUACCAAGCCGACGAUCAGUAGCCGACCUGAGAGGGUGACCGGCCACAUUGGGACUGAGACACGGCCCAA